UAGGAAUGUACGAUUAGUCGCAACCAUCAUCUGGUUUGGUUUCUCUCCAUAACAAAGUAUAGACCAUAAGACUUGGGUUUUAAAACUCAACAUUUCAAACAAGAAAUUCAUAGUUGUAAUCAGAUGGACUCACAAGUGCUUUUUCCUUACAUACAGGCAAGGACCAAAAAUACAAACAGUUUAGUUUAAAAAUGCAGUUAGGAUCUUCAUACACACCAAUCACUUCGUCAUCUCCCCAAUAUGCUCACCACCGCGUUGAUGGUACAUCUAGCUCACAAUCUUCCAACCCUCCUGCAAAACAAAGGUAUGUCAAGUGGUCAGACCAACAUGCUGAUUACUUUACUGAAAUAUGCAUCAGAUAGACACCGUGAAAAUUUGGCAUCAAGGAAAAAAAACUAUUGGAGCAUAGUUAGUACAAUUGUAGAAAACAGACCUUUGGGUAUGUGUAUUUUUGGUGCUUCCAAAAUCAACCUUGAUUCUGGUUCAAACUAAGAUUUGCACGCAAACAACUUUGACGAUGCAAUACAAGCAUGCCGCUAAAGAAAUUCUGCUUAAACUUCUGACCCUUUGUCAUACCUAUGAAAGAUAUUGUUGUUAUGGUUUAACAAUCUGCAUUUCCUAUCAUAGAGACCUCUCAGGCCCUAGAAUAGCAAGGACUGUCAUUGCAUACAUAAAAAUAUGUUGAUACAAACUUUUGUGUACAAUAAUGGCAUACCUUCUUCUGCAGCAAGAUCAAUAUAUCACUGAAUCACACUUCGGAACUUCUUCCUUCAGAUUUGUCCCAGAAAUUUGGCAAUUGAAAAUUCACAAGAUUUACAAAAGCAUAGACUAAAAAAGUACUUAACAUAACCCAACAUAUGUACCUGAACAUGUAAGUGCUUGGUCGGAGCAGACUUUGAAAAAGAGAAACUCCAAUGCAAUAUCUAUGGACUAAUCAUCAUCUGUAUGUUCAAGGUUACACUACUUUUAGCUUGGUAAGAUUCUACAUAUAAUACCUCUCAUCAGUCCCUCGUGUACAUUGAAACACAAAAUAUUUUUUAGCCAAUAAACGUGUAAACCAAGAAGGCUUGCGUCUGAUUUACAGCAAAAGCUAGUUGUCUUAUAAAACAGAGAAACUUAAUUGGCAAAAAAAGUUGUUGCAUUCCAUUUGCUUCAGGGGCAUUACUUAAGGCAAGUGCCACAACUUUUACGAUGAUAUCAUUAACAGAAUAACUUAUGAACAAACAUAACAAAUUCUCAUUCUGUACAAACCAGCAAAAAAAUUGAAUAGCAAGUCCACAAUGGCUAAUUGGUGCUCCAUUAGUAACCUCACAUCAAGAACAAUAAAAAAGUCUAACCUUUAUUCUGGUAAUCACCUGAGUAGCUGAGUGUCAGAGGCAAAAUUAAAUCAAAGAGUCAUUGGGCAAUUGUAUGAAAGCGGGCGACGCCAAGUGACUGAAGCACGUGUUGAUUGAUCUUCACCCAUGAAGUUGAUGACAAUUUUGUGAGCCAAGUUGACAAAUAACAAGAAGAAACAUAAUUAGAAGCAUCAUUUUUGUGCCUUUAGUUUAUAAAAAAAAUGAUGUACUGAUGAUUGGUUCCACAAGCUAGUAUAUAAGAACUGCACACAUGAAUAAUAUAGUGCACUCGACUAAAAUGCGCUGAGCAAACCAGUGAAACAAUCAAUUCGGUGCAGCUAAAAUGAUAAAUCAUAUUAUAAGCCAUGUCGAUGUGCUGGUGAGGAAAAGAAUUAGGUGUGCCGGUCCUUAAGAAUGCACACCUGGGAAACCGAGUUGCCUGGCGUCCUUAACCAGUAGGCUCCAUUGAAGCUUCUCAGCACGCCGGCAACAAUGAGUGGAUGCGCAAUGAAUGGCGACCUAGAGGCAGUGCGUGAGCAUGGAGAACAACAACCCAGAGGCAGCACUUGGGCAGAGAGCAUGUCGGCGGCAGCGGCGGUGGCGCAGGAACGGAGCGCGACGA
rnacentral:lncRNA from 1 species